AUGAACGUUACAGUAAAUGGAGAUUCGAGAUUACCUGCCGGAGUAGUUCCAAAGACUCUUCAAAGUGACAAAAAUGAUGAAUACAGAGGGCAACAACAGGGUUUAAGACAUGGGUGCAGUUUGGUUCGUGUUGCAAUGCUUGGAGGAAAUGUGAAGGCACAUGGAGAUGAUGAAUCAAUGAAGAUCAAAGUAAAGCAAGAUGUUUAA